rnacentral:rRNA from 1 species
ACGGAAGGCAGCAGUGGGGAAUAUUGGACAAUGGGCGCGAGCCUGAACCAGCCAAGUAGCGUGAGGGAUGACUGCCCUACGGGUUGUAAACCUCUUUUGUUUGGGAAUAAAGGAGCCUACGUGUAGGCUUUUGCAUGUACCUUUCGAAUAAGCAUCGGCUAAUUCCGUGCCAGCAGCCGCGGUAAUACGGAAGAUGCGAGCGUUAUCCGGAUUUAUUGGGUUUAAAGGGAGCGUAGGCGGCCUUUUAAGUCUGCGGUCAAAUGUCAGGGCCCAACCUUGGCAUGCCGUGGAUACUGAUGGGCUUGAAUACACGCAAGGCAAGUGGAAUUCGUCGUGUAGCGGUGAAAUGCUUAGAUAUGACGAAGAACUCCGAUUGCGAAGGCAGCUUGCUGGUGUGCGAUUGACGCUGAGGCUCGAAAGUGCGGGAAUCGAACAGGAUUAGAUACCCUGGUA